GAUGAAGAACGCAGCGAAAUGCGAUACUUGGUGUGAAUUGCAGAAUCCCGUGAACCAUCGAGUCUUUGAACGCAAGUUGCGCCCGAAGCCACUAGGCCGAGGGCACGCCUGCCUGGGCGUCACACGCCGUUGCCCCCCCAUCUACUCCUUCGGGAUUGCGGGGGGGCGGAUGAUGGCCUCCUGUGCGCCUAGCCGCGCGGUUGGCAUAAAUACCAAGUCCUCGGCGACGCACGCCACGACAAUCGGUGGUUGCGAAACCUCGGUUGCCCGUCGUGUGCGUUCGUCGCGCAUCGAGGGCUCGAAAAAAUGCUCGGCUCCGGCUGGGCUUUCAACGCGACCCCAGGUCAGGCGGGGUUACCCGCUGAAUUUAAGCAUAUCAUAAGCGGAGGA
rnacentral:misc_RNA from 1 species